rnacentral:rRNA from 1 species
CUGGUUGAUCCUGCCAGUAGUCAUAUGCUUGUCUCAAAGACUAAGCCAUGCAUGUCUAAGUAUAAGUGUUAUACAGCGAAACUGCGAAUGGCUCAUUAAAACAGUUAUAGUUUAUUUGGUAAUCGAAAUUACAUGGAUAACCGUGGUAUCUUCUAGAGCUAAUACAUGCAGGUUAGCCCGACUUCUCGGAAGGGCUGUAUUUAUUAGAUAACAGACCAAUAUUCCUCGUGUCUAUUGUGGUGACUCAUAGUAACUGAUCGGAUCGCAUGGACUUGUUCCGCGAUAAACCAUUCAAGUUUCUGACCCAUCAGCUUUCGAUGGUAGUGUAUUGGACUACCAUGGCUUUCACGGGUAACGGAGGAUUAGGGUUCGAUUCCGGAGAGGGAGCCUGAGAAACGGCUACCACAUCUAAGGAAGGCAGCAGGCGCGUAAAUUACCCAAUCCUGACUCAGGGAGGUAGUGACAAGAAAUAACGGGUCGGGGCAUUUGCCUCGGGAUUGCAAUGAAUCGAAUUUACACCCCUUAAUGAGGAUCAAUUGGAGGGCAAGUCUGGU